rnacentral:rRNA from 1 species
UACGUAGGGGGCUAGCGUUGUCCGGAAUCAUUGGGCGUAAAGAGCGUGUAGGCGGCUCGGUAAGUCCGCUGUGAAAGUCCAGGGCUCAACCCUGGAAUGCCAGUGGAAACUGUCGGGCUAGAGUCCGGAAGAGGCGAGUGGAAUUCCUGGUGUAGCGGUGGAAUGCGCAGAUAUCAGGAGGAACACCGAUGGCGAAGGCAGCUCGCUGGGACGGUACUGACGCUGAGACGCGAAAGCGUGGGGAGCGAACAGG